UGAGGAAUAUUGGUCAAUGGGCGCGAGCCUGAACCAGCCAAGUCGCGUGAGGGAUGACGGUCCUACGGAUUGUAAACCUCUUUUGCCGGGGAGCAAGCGUGCGUUCGUGAACGCACGUCGAGAGUACCCGGAGAAAAAGCAUCGGCUAACUCCGUGCC
rnacentral:rRNA from 1 species